rnacentral:lncRNA from 1 species
CGCGGGCGCCGGGGUGGAGUUCUGGCUUCAGGAUCUGCUCGCCGCCGACGACGACCUCGACCCUUCCAUUCAGACCCGCGAGGACGCGCGCCCCGCCCCGGCGCCCGCCCCGUCCACGCCCGAGCCGGGAGCGCCAGGUCCACGGGGCUUCCCGCGCUCUUGGGGGGCUCCUGCCGCGGCGUCGGGGGCCUGGGCAGCGAGGGCCUCCAGAGGAACCAGCGCUGCCGACUCCUUGAUUCUAACCCACUGAGGCCUAUUUUGGAUUUCUGCACCCCAGAACUGUGGGAGAGUAAAUUGUGCUGUUGAAGCCACCACAUUUGUGGUGAUCUGUUCCAGCUGCAGUAGGAAGCUCGUAUGCUUGGCAGUUCUGAUUGUGAACUCACCUUUAUGUUGGAGAUUCCUUUACACAUAAGUCCCCUUAUCCACAGCGGACAAAUUCCAUGACCCCCAGUGGAUGCCUGAAAUCGCGGAGAGUACUGAAUCCUACAUAUAAUGUGUUCUUUCCUAUAUGUAUAUGUAUAUAUCUAUAUCUAUGAUACAGUCUAAUUUAUAAAUUAGGCACAGUGAGAGAUUAACAACAAUAACUAAUAGUAAAAUAGGACAAUGAUGACAAUAUAAUGUAAUAAAAGUUUUGUGAAUAUGG